UAGGUGAACUGCGGAGGGAUCAUUA
rnacentral:rRNA from 3 species